rnacentral:rRNA from 1 species
UGGGGAAUAUUGGACAAUGGGCGCAAGCCUGAUCCAGCCAUGCCGCGUGGAUGAUGAAGGCCUUAGGGUUGUAAAAUCCUUUCGGCGGGGAAGAUAAUGACGGUACCGGAAGAAUAAGCACCGGCUAACUACGUGCCAGCAGCCGCGGUAAUACGUAGGGGGCCAGCGUUGCUCGGAAUUACUGGGCGUAAAGGGUCCGUAGGCGGUGUGGCAAGUCGGGAGUGAAAUCUCUGGGCUUAACCCAGAGGCUGCUUCCGAAACUGCCAUGCUAGAGUGUGAGAGAGGCGAGUGGAAUUACGGGUGUAGCGGUGAAAUGCGUAGAUAUCCGUAGGAACAUCCGAGGCGAAGGCGGCUCGCUGGAUCACAACUGACGCUGAGGGACGAAAGCUAGGGGAGCAAACAGGAUUAGAUACCCUGGUAGUCCUAGCCCUAAACCAUCAGGACUUGGGGUGUGCCCUGUACGGGGCACGUCCCGUAGCUAACGCGUUAAGUCCUGCGCCUGGGGAGUACGGUCGCAAGGCUG